GAAAUGGGAGUUGAGCCAACAAAAACUUUUGGGAAUGGGUGGGUUGGUAAGCUUUUUUUUUUGUUUUUUAGAAAUGUGUGUGUUUCCUUAGCUUACCAACCCCACCCAUUCCAAUGGGUUUUGGGGCUUCUCUCCUUUUUC
rnacentral:pre_miRNA from 1 species